rnacentral:rRNA from 1 species
UACGUAGGUGGCAAGCGUUGUCCGGAUUUACUGGGCGUAAAGAGCGCGCAGGCGGUCGUUCAAGUCGCGUGUGAAAGCCCCCGGCUCAACUGGGGAGGGUCACGCGAUACUGAUCGACUCGAAGGCAGGAGAGGGUAGUGGAAUUCCCGGUGUAGUGGUGAAAUGCGUAGAUAUCGUAAGGAAGACCAGUGGCGAAGGCGGGUCUCUGGACAGUUCCUGACGCUGAGGCACGAAGGCCAGGGGAGCAAACGGG